UACGAAGGGGGCUAGCGUUGCUCGGAAUCACUGGGCGUAAAGCGCACGUAGGCGGGUUCUUAAGUCAGGGGUGAAAUCCUGGAGCUCAACUCCAGAACUGCCUUUGAUACUGGGAAUCUCGAGUCCGGGAGAGGUGAGUGGAACUGCGAGUGUAGAGGUGAAAUUCGUAGAUAUUCGCAAGAACACCAGUGGCGAAGGCGGCUCACUGGCCCGGUACUGACGCUGAGGUGCGAAAGCGUGGGGAGCAAACAGGA
rnacentral:rRNA from 1 species